CCUCGGGACGGCACGGCGUGCCUCGGCUCCGCACGGGCACGGACUGAUGGCUUCCACGUGGACUCCGCUCGUGGGUCCCGCGCGUCCUACGGAGAGGAGCGGGUGGGCUGUGCAGCCAUGGGGGGUUGAGGACACGUGACCAGCCUGUGGGGGCCCGCGAUGGCAGCACGCUCUCCUCGGGUAUGAGGCCGUCCGGAAGCCCCUCUGUGUCAGGAGCGGGGUCUCCCCGGGAAGAAUCAUGGGCAGGCUGCCCGCGGGAACCACAGAGGCCGCAGGCCUGGGGUCCGAGGCGGGUGACUGUCCAGAGAGCACCGAGCGGCAGCAGCAGCUGAGCGGAGCCGAUCUCAGUUUCUCUCUCUGUGCAAUGGGAAGCCUGGCCCGGGGCCUCCCGUGAUAGAGGUGCCCCGGCUCUCCGCGUGUGGGCUCGAGGACUUCUCCAGGCCCAGCCAGGCCCCGGAAGCUCAGAGAGGAAGUUGGGAAGGGAGCCCCGCGCUGGAGAAGACCGGGCCGAGCGCUCCGGGCCGGCCCUGCUGAAGGCCCUCCUCCCUCCCCUCCCUGCCCCGCUGAAAUAAAAUGUUGGAGAAAG